CUCCAACCUGUGCACAACCCUCGAAUUGUACUUGAAGCAACCGUUUCGAAGUAACCUGCACGUUUUAAUCUUUUACUCGAAGAAAUACGGUCUUUUACAGGAUGUUUCUUCAGAUUUUAUUACUGUUGGCUAAUGGAGGUUAUGCUGUUAAUGGACUUUUGGAUACCAGUUCUUGUGCCGACUUUCAGUCCAAAGUUAAAGAAUGUAAUACAAAUAAUGGUCUGGUAGGAAUGGGUAUACGAACACUGCCACACGUACAGCUGUUGUUCCUUCAAAAUACAACUGUAAUAUGCGGUUCAAUGAAAAACAACUAUAAGAAAGCCAUGGGUUGUUUCAUUGACCUACUUAGAGGAUGUGCAUCAGUUAACGAAAAGAAACUGGUAGCUUCUUCAAGGAAUUAUAAAGAAGCAUUUGAUCUACUCUGUAUUGACGGACCUACUGAAAGAGAUUGUGUUGGAAAGUAUGCAGUAAUUUGUUUAAGCCUUAAAUUGGCUGCUGCUGGGCUAUACCCAGAGGGACCUUCACCCUACGAUACGUAUGAUGUCAAGAAGAAUUAUAUUUGCAAGCAGGCUGAAUAUUAUUUGCCCUGUUUAAACGCAGAACCUAUGGAGCCGUCUUGUAGAGCAGCCUCCAUAGA